AAUGUGAGAUGCAGUGUAUGGAAUGUCAAAUUUCUAGUAUGAGAAAUUAACGAUUUAAGUCCUUCUUAAAUGAGGCCAUUUACCCAUAGAGGGUGCCAGGCCCGUAUAACGUUAAUGAUUACUAGAUGGCAUUUCCAAAGAGUCGUGUUGCUUGAUAGUGCAGCACUAAGUGGGUGGUAAACUCCAUCUAAAACUAAAUAUAACCAUGAGACCGAUAGUAAACAAGUACCGUGAGGGAAAGU
rnacentral:rRNA from 1 species